UAGGGAAUCUUCCACAAUGGACGCAAGUCUGAUGGAGCAACGCCGCGUGAGUGAAGAAGGUUUUCGGACCGUAAAGCUCUGUUGUUGGUGAAGAAGGAUAGAGGUAGUAACUGGCCUUUAUUUGACGGUAAUCAACCAGAAAGUCACGGCUAACUACGUGCCAGCAGCCGCGGUAAUACGUAGGUGGCAAGCGUUGUCCGGAUUUAUUGGGCGUAAAGCGAGCGCAGGCGGAAGAAUAAGUCUGAUGUGAAAGCCCUCGGCUUAACCGAGGAAUUGCAUCGGAAACUGUUUUCUUGAGUGCAGAAGAGGAGAGUAGAACUCCAUGUGUAGCGGUGGAAUGCGUAGAUAUAUGGAAGAAUACCAGUGGCGAAGGCGGCUCUCUGGUCUGCAACUGACGCUGAGGCUCGAAAGCAUGGGUAGCGAACAGGAUUAGAUACCCUGGUAGU
rnacentral:rRNA from 1 species